GGUACCUACGGGGUGCAGCAUUUAUUAAUAUUGUUCAAUGGUCUAGAUCCUGAACCAGCCAAGUCGCGUGAGGGAGGACGGCCCUACGGGUUGUAAACCUCUUUUGCCGGGGGACAAACGGCGGCACGCGUGCCGUCCUGAGGGUACCCGGAGAAAAAGCAUCGGCUAACUCCGUGCCAGCAGCCGCGGUAAUACGGAGGAUGCGAGCGUUAUCCGGAUUUAUUGGGUUUAAAGGGUGCGUAGGCGGGAUGCCAAGUCAGCGGUCAAAUACGGGGGCUCAACCUGCGUCCGCCGUUGAAACUGGG
rnacentral:rRNA from 1 species